CAGAAGAUUCGAAAGGUCCCUCCCCUCGUCCCUUCGCUUCCAUUUACCAAGGACUCUGCUUGAUCAGGUGUGUCCUCUCUGGCAUGAAGGUGCCGGGGUGACACAUGCAGAGAAGGGGAGAAACGUGCUCAGCUCUGCCAAGCCCUGCUUAGGGCCAGACCCCUGUGCCCAGGAGCAGAGAGGGAAGCGAGGAAGCGACUACCCCACCUUCUGCUGGGGGAGAAGAGAGACGCCUUUCCGAGAAGACAGUGUAUUCACCCGUGAAAGAUGCGACCAGCUCCGGGGCUCGGGCUUUGAAGGGAGGGGGGGACUGGACCUCUGGGGAGAGCGGCUGCUCCGCCGCCGUCUCCCCUGUCCUGUGAUCCGAGCUGCGCUGCGAACGCCGACUGUGAUUGCAGUUGGUGUGUUGGAUUCGCUGUAUUUCAUCGAUUGAGCACAUACCACUGAUUCAUUCGUUCCUUUGUUCAUCCAGCACCUGCCUUGCGUUGGGCCCCGUCCUAAGUGCUGCAGAUUUGGAAAUACAGAACAAGACACACUGUCCUUUCCUGCUCCUAUGGGGCUUCCAUGGCGGGAGAUAGCAAACACCACUCUUUUUUUUUCCUGCUUUUUAGGGCCGCACACAUGGCAUAUAGAAGAGCCCAAGCUAGGGGUCGAAUCAGAGCUGUAGCUGCUGGCCUACACCCCAGCCACAGCCACGCGGGAUCCGAGCCACGUCGGUGACCUACACCACAGCUCACAGCAACACCAGAUCCUUAACCCACUGAGCAAGCCAGGGAUUGGACCCACGUCCUCAUGGGCACUAGUUGGGUUUGUUACCCCUGAGCCACGACGGGAACUCCUCGAGGCACUUUGCACCGUUCCCCAUGCCCCGCUCCGGUCGUUGGAACCCCCCGAAUGCCCGCUCACAGUUAAAUAUGGCUUCUCAGGAUGUGGGCCUGCCCCCCACCCCAGGAGAAACAUGACACACCCUCAUUUCAUCCUCACAACCUCAUGAAAUUGGUCCUCUUCUGAUCCCCGUUUCACAGAUGGUAAAACUGAGGCACAGAGAUGUGCAGCCACUUCUCUGAGGUCACACAGUUGGAGUGAUGGAUUUGAACCCCAGGAGCCUGGCUUCAGGAUCUGUACUCUUUCCGUCUCUGUCAGAGAGCUUCUCAAAAGCGCGCGGAACCUGGGAGUUCUAGGCUGGAGAGAUGCUGUGCUGAAAAGAAGCGAUGACGUGAUAGAGGAGGUUUCCCGUGUGAAUACUGCUUGGACCCAGCGGGGAGGAAAGAGAGAGUAAUGGAAAGGGGUGCCUCACACUGCCUUACACCCGUGCAUUCUGGACACACCAUUAAAACCGGGGCUGCAGGGUUUGUGUGUGCCCCUAAGUGAUGCGUACUUUAGUGAAACCUCUGCUGUCGUAAGGAAGCUCUGCCCGUUGAGGGAUGAUUGUCCCUGUGGAAGUCACGCACCGGGGACUCGUGGGCGGAAGAAAGGAAAGGGAACGUUACACCAGCCGACUGUGGGAAGGGAGGCAGCCACUUCUUGUCUCUCCAUCCAGUCAGUAGAAAUGUAAUUACUGGCAGUUCUGUUGUGGCUCAGCGGUGAUGAGCCCAGCGAGUCUCCGUGAGGAUGCAGAUUUGAUCCCUGGCCUUGCUCAGUGGGUUAAGGAGGUCGCAGACGUGGCUUGGAUCUGGCAUUGCUGCGGCUGUGGUGUAGACCGGCAGCUAUAGUUCCAAUUCGACCCCUCGCCUGGGAACCUCCAUAUGCUGCAGGUGUGGCCCCAG
rnacentral:lncRNA from 1 species